AUUAAAAAAAAACAAGAAUUUGAAAAAGUGUUCCCCGAGAUAAGCACUGCAACAACAUCAGCCUGUAUCUCUACGGAGGCAUGGUUUGAAUUAAUUGUCUUGGAUAGACACGAAUGAGCAUGACAAGAGAUCGAGGACGGGUGGUGAUGAUGUUAGUCUAUCUCCCAAAGGAGAAGUUUUAGCCAAAGAUUUGACAGUGCUCAGAAAACAGAAAGAGAGCUACUGCUGCAGGUUGUGAUGGAGUCAAGUAUGACAUGCUCAUAGCACUGUCUGUAGGAAGCUUUAACGUGCUUUUGCAUGCAAUUAACUGCUGGUCCACCAACUUUAUACCCUCUGAUUUGCGUUGCAUCAAAAUAGU